CAGGGUCUCUACUGGGGACUUCUCUGGGACAGUUUGUUUCUGCAGGCCUCAGAGAAAAAGGGUAGUGUGGCAGAGAAUGCCAGCAGACAAUAAACUGAUGGAACUGCUGUUAAUUGGCUGUCCAGGUCUGUGCUGGUGAGAGGAAGCAGUUAAGGACACUAAAACCUUGAUCAUCAAAAGAGGAGGAAAAUACAAGUUUAAUGGCAACUUACCCUUUUUCACGUCCCACUCAUUUAUUGAUGUGGGCAAGCAGGAUGAAUUGAUCGAGGACACACAUGUCAUCUUUUCAGUCUCUAUCACCCUUUCAGUUCCCAUCCAUUCCUCUUGCCUCUGCCUUAUUAAAAAGGGUGGUAUGGUGGCAUUUGUUUGAUUAACUUGUCUGACAAAAGUGACAGCUGCUCAUGGGUGUAUGUGGAUGAGUGGCCCAGCGCCGCUCCUUCUUUGUACGUUUGUCAGAGCUGGAGCAGGGCGAGUGGGGUGAAAAGAGACAAAUUGGACCCAAAAAGAAGGCCAUUCACCUUCUCUAGACCCCCCUCAGUCACUACACCCCUCUAUCCCAUUCAGGUUCUCGGCGGGACCCUCAAGUGCUUGCUGGCUUAUUCCAUUUUCACUCCCCCUAUAGAGUUCCCUGAGCCCACAAGUGUUUUAGUCUUCUCUUUUCUUUCCUCAAUCCACCCCUAAGCGGCUUUUUGUAAGUAGAAUGGCUCACUUUUCUCAGGGCCUGAAGCUGGCAGCUUUUUUCUUCUUUUAUUGUCAACCACAGAGCUUUUCUGUAGCUCAUUGUAUAUUUACUCAAUGACUGGUUGCUGACCGUAAUUCCAACUGUUUAGUCCCUCACAACAUGGCCCCUCAACCCAACCACCCAUUGCCCCGACAUACAGCCAUUUA